CCUACGGGAGGCAGCAGUGAGGAAUAUUGGUCAAUGGACGCAAGUCUGAACCAGCCAUGCCGCGUGCAGGAAGACGGCUCUAUGAGUUGUAAACUGCUUUUGUACGAGGGUAAAUCCCGAUACGUGUAUCGGGUUGAAAGUAUCGUACGAAUAAGGAUCGGCUAACUCCGUGCCAGCAGCCGCGGUAAUACGGAGGAUUCAAGCGUUAUCCGGAUUUAUUGGGUUUAAAGGGUGCGUAGGCGGUUCGAUAAGUUAGAGGUGAAAUCCCGGGGCUCAACUCCGGCACUGCCUCUGAUACUGUUGAUCUAGAGAGUAGAUGCGGUAGGCGGAAGGUAUGGUGUAGCGGUGAAAUGCUUAGAGAUCAUACAGAACACCGAUUGCGAAGGCAGCUUACCAAUCUAUAUCUGACGUUGAGGCACGAAAGCGUGGGGAGCAAACAGGAUUAGAUACCCUUGUAGUC
rnacentral:rRNA from 1 species